rnacentral:rRNA from 1 species
CCGGGGGGGACGAGGGGUGACGAGGUGGUGCAUGGUUGUCGUCAGCCCGUGUCGUGAGAUGUUGGGUUAAGUCCCGCAACGAGCGCAACCCUCGACCUUAGUUGCCAGCAUUCAGUUGGGCACUCUAAGGUGACUGCCGGCUAAAAAGUCGGAGGAAGGUGGGGAUGACGUCAAAUCAUCAUGCCCCUUAUGACCUGGGCUACACACGUGCUACAAUGGGCGGUACAAAGGGCUGCGAACCCGCGAGGGGGAGCGAAUCCCAAAAAGCCGCUCUCAGUUCGGAUUGCAGGCUGCAACUCGCCUGCAUGAAGCCGGAAUCGCUAGUAAUCGCGGAUCAGCAUGCCGCGGUGAAUACGUUCCCGGGCCUU